AGUGAACGCUGGCGGUAGGCCUAACACAUGCAAGUCGAACGGCAGCACAGUAAGAGCUUGCUCUUACGGGUGGCGAGUGGCGGACGGGUGAGGAAUACAUCGGAAUCUACUUUUUCGUGGGGGAUAACGUAGGGAAACUUACGCUAAUACCGCAUACGACCUACGGGUGAAAGCAGGGGAUCUUCGGACCUUGCGCGAUUGAAUGAGCCGAUGUCGGAUUAGCUAGUUGGCGGGGUAAAGGCCCACCAAGGCGACGAUCCGUAGCUGGUCUGAGAGGAUGGUAACGCCAACUGGAAAGGGGAAACCGGCCAAACCCCCUAGGGGAGGACGAGGGGGGGAAUUUUGAAAAAUGGGCGAAACCUGGACCCAGCCAUCCCGGGGGGGGAAAGAAGGCCUUCGGGUUGUAAACCCUUUUUGUUGGGAAAAAAAAGCCGCAGGUUAAACCCCCGCUGUUCUGACGGUACCCAAAAAAAAACCACCGCCUAACUUCGU
rnacentral:rRNA from 1 species